CGCAAUUUAACAUCACAAAGGCCUUUAGAUUAGGCAUACCAAAUUUGGUGUUGAUCUGAAUAAAUCUCUAGGAGGAGUUCGUUAAAAUACAAGGCAUGCAAAUGACAAAAAUGAUGCAAAAUUUGCUCAUAAAAUUAAAAAUAACCGACUUCCUGUUGGGUUUCGGAUAUUGCUCCAAGAGUCUUUUUUGUAGGUACUGAUGCCUUACAUAUGUGUGCCAAUUUUCGUGCAUGUACGUGAAACACAGCUCGAGGGCUGUUGAUUUUUUUACGGUAGGUGGCGCUGUCGAGCCAUUUUGCCACACCCUCUUCUGAAACCUAUAUCAGACGUAAAUUUUCACCAGGUCUGACGCGUGUGCAAAGUUUCAGGACUUUUCGAGCAUGUUUAGGCCCUCAAAAAUGCGAUUCAUUUUGGAGAAGAAGAAGAAGAAGAAGAAGAAGAAGAAGAAGAAGAAGAAGAAGAAGAAGAAUAAUUAAAGCUGCAAGCAGCGAUGAACGGGCCCUCGCACCCGGGCUCACCGCCAUUGUGUGGC
ensembl:lncRNA